CCUACGGGAGGCAGCAGUGGGGAAUUUUCCGCAAUGGGCGAAAGCCUGACGGAGCAACGCCGCGUGAGGGAUGAAGGCCUCUGGGCUGUAAACCUCUUUUCUCAAGGAAGAAGAUCUGACGGUACUUGAGGAAUAAGCCACGGCUAAUUCCGUGCCAGCAGCCGCGGUAAUACGGGAGUGGCAAGCGUUAUCCGGAAUUAUUGGGCGUAAAGCGUCCGCAGGCGGCCCUUCAAGUCUGCUGUUAAAACGUGGAGCUUAACUCCAUCAUGGCAGUGGAAACUGUUGGGCUUGAGUGUGGUAGGGGCAGAGGGAAUUCCCGGUGUAGCGGUGAAAUGCGUAGAUAUCGGGAAGAACACCAGUGGCGAAGGCGCUCUGCUGGGCCAUAACUGACGCUCAUGGACGAAAGCCAGGGGAGCGAAAGGGAUUAGAUACCCCUGUAGUCCUGGCCGUAAACGAUGAACACUAGGUGUCGGGGGAAUCGACCCCCUCGGUGUCGUAGCCAACGCGUUAAGUGUUCUGCCUGGGGAGUACGCACGCAAGUGUGAAACUCAAAGGAAUUGACGGA
rnacentral:rRNA from 1 species